rnacentral:lncRNA from 1 species
AUUUCCGAAAAGUGUUAAUCCAAUAAUGUUAAACAGAAAAAAUAAAUAUAUUCAAUAAAAAUAUUGUUUUAAUGAAUGCACAAUGUCAUGGCUUAAUAAUGUUAAAUAUGUCAACACAAAUGAAAAUCAGUCUAGCAUAGGAAGAAUUGGGGGAAUUACAUGGCGAAACAGCGAAUUGCGCAGUGGUAUUGUUGUGAAUCAGCGUAAAUUAAGCUGGCAUAAACUGAGAGCUACCUGUAGUAUAUUUAUAAUACUCAAGAUAUCAGCACAUGAAGCAGUGAGAUAAAAACAAGAUUUAUUUACGGCAAAAACGUUUUCGGUAUGGG